UCUAUGUGAGAAGGGAAGACGGAAAGAAAUUUAGGCAAAUGAAGCCCCAAAGCGCACUGUAAUUUUCUAUCUCUGAACCGAUUUGUAAGAGAAUGGGUGAGUGAAAUUAGCAAAGAAUCGCCCCACACAAAGAUGGCGCGUGCAGAAUUUGUGAAAGCGAAAAAAAGGCGACGAAGGAGCAGCAUGAGGGACGAGACACCGCAUUGCUGGGGUGGAUUUUUGCCGCAGUAUACAUCUGCAGUCCCAGAAUCCUCGGUGAAGGCCUGGAGAACGCGCAACUCCGAUGAUGAAGAUUGACGCUGCUGUAACUGAAGCGGCCAUGAGCGUCCCUACCACGGCUGCUGCCACGGCCACCACCAUGGCCAUCGCCUCCCACCACCUUGGCCGCCCCUCCCUCGCCCUGCAGCGCACACCAGAUGCGAGCCGUCCGCCGUGGCUCUCCGCCGAAUUUGCCCAGUGGGUUCCUAGAUGACUUGUGUGUGCGAGAAUAGCCAACCAUGUAGUCUGACGAGAGGUAUUUACAACUCCUUAGCCUGUUCGGCUGGAGAGAAAUCAAAAGAUAACACCGAAGCCUGAGAUGAUGUAUUGCAAAUCAAAAGUUCCAACCCAUAAAUAGCCCACUUGGUGAACUGCUAAAUGCAAAGCGGAUCCUGAUUAUUGUCCAGUGUUUGCAGGCUGUCAAAAGAAGUAUAUUUAACUGGCGUUCUUAGAGAGUCGGGGUUUAUUGUUUAUAAAUGCAUGGAGUAAUUACUUCGUCUUACCUUUCUGCUGGGAGAGGAUUCUUCCCAAGGAGAUUCGACUAUAGCGUCCAGAGGAG